rnacentral:rRNA from 1 species
GCCAAACAGCUAGCUUAACCACCAAUAUAACUCCACACCAUAAAUAAAAUAAAUUUGACCUCAAACCUAUAAACUAAAUCAUUCUUCACCUUAGUAUGAGAGACAGAAAAGGAUUUACCAAAGCAAUAGAAAAAGUACCGCAAGGGAAAGCUGAAAGAGAAAUGAAACAACCCAUAUAAGCCAUAAAAAUCAAAGACUAAACCUUGUACCUUUUGCAUCAUGAUUUAGCAAGUCCACCCAAGCAAAGAGACCUCUAGUUUGAAACCCCGAAACCAAGUGAGCUACCCCGAGACAGCCUAUGCUAGGGCCAACCCAUCUCUGUGGCAAAAGAGUGGGAAGAACUCCGGGUAGAGGUGACAGACCUAUCGAACUUGGUGAUAGCUGGUUGCCUAAGAAAUGAAUAUAAGUUCAGCCUCGCACACCCUAAGUCAAAAACUUACUAACAAGACACAGAGGAAAAAUGCGAGAGUUAGUUUAAGGAGGUACAGCCCCUUAAACAAAGGAUACAACCUUAACAGGAGAAUAAAGAUUAUAAUACCCAAAAUACACCGUCCCAGUGGGCCUAAAAGCAGCCACCUAAACAGAAAGCGUCAAAGCUCAAACAAAUAAAAAUUUAUUAUACCAAUAAAUAAUCUCACUUCCCCAUAAAUACUAGGCCAUUCCAUGCACCCAUGGAAGAAAUUAUGCUAAAAUGAGUAACAAGAAGAACCCAACCUUCUCCAAGCAUAAGUGUAAAUCAGAUCGGAUUGACCACUGAUAAUUAACGAACCCAAACAAAGAGGGCAUUAUGAACAACAUAAUAAUCAAGAAAACCCCAUUACCAAAAAUCGUUACCCCCACACUGGAAUGCACCAAAGGAAAGACUAAAAGAGAAAGGAAGGAACUCGGCAAACACAAGCCUCGCCUGUUUACCAAAAACAUCGCCUCCUGCAACAUCCCAGUAUAGGAGGUCCAACCUGCCCAGUGACUACAAGUUCAACGGCCGCGGUAUUUUAACCGUGCAAAGGUAGCGCAAUCACUAGUCCUUUAAAUGGGGACCUGUAUGAAUGGUUAAACGAGGGCUUAACUGUCUCCCUUCUCCAGUCAGUGAAAUUGAUCUACCCGUGCAGAAGCGGGUAUAAUAAUACAAGACGAGAAGACCCUUUGGAGCUUAAGGUACAAGACUCACCCAUGUUAAACAAACUCCAAAAAGUUUUAAAACCCGAUGAAAAAUGAAACUCUACCUUCGGUUGGGGCGACCACGGAGAAAAAAAUAGCCUCCGAGUGGAUUGAAUAAUAUUCAAAACCAAGAUAAACACCUCUAAGUGACAGAACAUCUGACCAAAAAUGACCCGGCAGCAAGACCGAUCAACGAACCAAGUUACCCAAGGGAUAACAGCGCAAUCCUCUCCCAGAGCUCAUAUCGACGAGAGGGUUUACGACCUCGAUGUUGGAUCAGGACAUCCUAAUGGUGCAGCCGCUAUUAAGGGUUCGUUUGUUCAACGAUUAAAGUCCUACGUGAUCUGAGUUCAGACCGGAGCAAUCCAGGUCAGUUUCUAUCUGUAAUGCUACUUUUCCUAGUACGAAAGGAUCGGAAAAGAGGGGCCCACUCUACAAGCACGCCCCACCCCAAAUUGAUGAAUCCAAAUAAAUCAAACAAUGGGAAAGCAUAAACCAACCCCAAACAAGGAGUU